rnacentral:sRNA from 1 species
ACGGGGGGUUUGGAGGCCCUGAGAUGAAGCGAGAGCGCUGACCAAAGCAUUGGGUGGACAGUGUCCCAGAAGGAAGCCUGCCAGUGCACGGUGAACAAGUGCUGCCCGAGGACCAGCAAGUCACUGCCUUGGGGAGAGAGGAACCUGUGGCAAUAGAGAGCCCCGGACAGGAUCUUCUGGGAGAAAGCAGGUCUGAACCAGUGGAUGUGAAGCCAUUUACUUCCUGCGAAGAUUCUGAAGCUCCAGUCCCAGCUGAGGAUGGGGGCAGUGACGCUGGCAUGUGUGGCCUGUGUCAGAAGGCCCAGCUAGAGCGGAUGGGAGUCAGUGGUCCCAGCGGUUCAGACCUUUGGGCUGGGGCUGCCGUGGCUGAACCCCAGGCCAAGGGUCAGCUGGCGGGGGGCAGCCUCCUGAUGCACUGCCCUUGCUAUGGGAGUGAAUGGGGCUUGUGGUGGCAAAGGCAGGACUUGGCCCCCAGCCCCUCUGGGAUGGCAGCCCUCUCGUUUGGGACACCUACUCUA